AUGAUACUAAGCCAUGCGAGUCAUUGUAGCAAUACAAGGCAGACGGCUCAGUAACGCGUAGUCAAUCUACCCUAUGGACGGGAAUAACCUCGGGAAACUGAGAAUAAUGCCCGAUAGAACAUUAUACCUGGAACGGUUUAUGUUUCAAAUGAUUUAUCGCCGUAGGAUGGGACUGCGGCCUAUCAGUUUGUUGGUGAGGUAAUGGCCCACCAAGACUAUUACAGGUACGGGCUCUGAGAGGAGUAGCCCGGAGAUGGGUACUGAGACACGGACCCAGGCCCUAUGGGGCGCAGCAGGCGAGAAAACUUUGCAAUGUGCGAAAGCACGACAAGGUUAAUCCGAGUGGUUUCUGCUAAAGAAACCUUUUGCUAGUCCUAGAAACACUAGUGAAUAAGGGGUGGGCAAGUUCUGGUGUCAGCCGCCGCGGUAAAACCAGCACCUCAAGUGGUCAGGAUGAUUAUUGGGCCUAAAGCAUCCGUAGCCCGUUUUGUAAGUUUUCGGUUAAAUCCAUACGCUCAACGUAUGGGCUGCCGGGAAUACUGCAUAACUAGGAAGUGGGAGAGGUAGACGGUACUCGGUAGGAAGGGGUAAAAUCCUUUGAUCUAUUGAUGACCACCUGUGGCGAAGGCGGUCUACCAGAACACGUUCGACGGUGAGGGAUGAAAGCUGGGGGAGCAAACCGGAUUAGAUACCCGGGUAGUCCCAGCUGUAAACUAUGCAAACUCAGUGAUGCAUUGGCUUGUGGCCAAUGCAGUGCUGCAGGGAAGCCGUUAAGUUUGCCGCCUGGGAAGUACGUACGCAAGUAUGAAACUUAAAGGAAUUGGCGGGGGAGCACCACAAGGGGUGAAGCCUGCGGUUCAAUUGGAGUC
rnacentral:rRNA from 1 species